AACCGUUGGCCCGCAGCAGGGGUAAUACAGAGACCUCAAUCGUGAUCCGGAAGCAUUGGGCGUAAAGCUGACCGAUAGGUGGUUAUGCAAGUCAGAUGUGAAAUCUCCGAGCUCAACUCGGAAUCUGUCAUUUGAAACUGCACAACUAGAGGGGCAAAGAGGAAGCUAGAACGAACGGUGUAGUAGUGAAAUGCGUUGAUAUCGUUCGGAAUACCGAUAGCGAAGGCAGGCUUCUGGGUGCCACCUGACACUGCUAGGACGAAAGCGUGGGGAGCGAAUGGGAUUAGAUACCCCGGUAGUC
rnacentral:rRNA from 1 species